UAUAUGACUCUCGGCAACGGAUAUCUCGGCUCUCGCAUCGAUGAAGAACGUAGCGAAAUGCGAUACUUGGUGUGAAUUGCAGAAUCCCGUGAACCAUCGAGUCUUUGAACACAAGUUGCGCCCGAGGCCUUUCGGUUGAGGGCACGCCUGCCUGGGCGUCACGC
rnacentral:rRNA from 1 species